AACGCGAAGAACCUUACCUACUCUUGACAUCCAGAGAAUUUAGCAGAGAUGCUUUGGUGCCUUCGGGAACUCUGAGACAGGUGCUGCAUGGCUGUCGUCAGCUCGUGUUGUGAAAUGUUGGGUUAAGUCCCGCAACGAGCGCAACCCUUAUCCUUUGUUGCCAGCGAUUCGGUCGGGAACUCAAAGGAGACUGCCGGUGAUAAACCGGAGGAAGGUGGGGAUGACGUCAAGUCAUCAUGGCCCUUACGAGUAGGGCUACACACGUGCUACAAUGGCGUAUACAAAGAGAAGCGACCUCGCGAGAGCAAGCGGAACUCAUAAAAGUACGUCGUAGUCCGGAUUGGAGUCUGCAACUCGACUCCAUGAAGUCGGAA
rnacentral:rRNA from 1 species